AGCGAACGCUGGCGGCAGGCUUAACACAUGCAAGUCGAGCGGGCACUUUCGGGUGUCAGCGGCGGACGGGUGAGUACCGCGGGGGAACGUGCCCUCUGGUUCGGAAUAACUCAGGGAAACUUGAGCUAAUACCGGAUACGCCCUUUUGGGGAAAGGCUUGCUGCCGGAGGGUCGGUCCGCGUCUGAUUAGCUAGUUGGUGAGGUAACGGCUCACCAAGGCGACGAUCAGUAGCUGGUCUGAGAGGAUGAUCAGCCACACUGGGACUGAGACACGGCCCAGACUCCUACGGGAGGCAGCAGUGGGGAAUAUUGGAAAAUGGGCGCAAGCCUGAUCCAGCCAUGCCGCGUGAGUGAUGAAGGCCUUAGGGUUGUAAAGCUCUUUUAUCCGGGACGAUAAUGACGGUACCGGAGGAAUAAGCCCCGGCUAACUUCGUG
rnacentral:rRNA from 1 species